rnacentral:rRNA from 1 species
AUUGAACGCUGGCGGCAUGCCUUACACAUGCAAGUCGAACGGCAGCACGGGGCAACCUGGUGGCGAGUGGCGAACGGGUGAGUAAUGCAUCGGAACGUACCUUUCAGUGGGGGAUAACGUAGCGAAAGUUACGCUAAUACCGCAUAUUCUGUGAGCAGGAAAGCAGGGGAUCGCAAGACCUUGCGCUGAUUGAGCGGCCGAUGUCAGAUUAACUAGUUGGUGGGGUAAAGGCUCACCAAGGCGACGAGCUGUAGCGGGUCUGAGAGGAUGAUCCGCCAAGCUGGAACUGAGGCACGGUCCAGACUCCUACGGGAGGCAGCAGUGGGGAAUGUUGGACAAUGGGGGCAACCCUGAUCCAGCCAUGCCGCGUGAGUGAAGAAGGCCUUCGGGUUGUAAAGCUCUUUCGGCCGGGAAGAAAUCGCACGGGCUAAUACCCUGUGUGGAUGACGGUACCGGAAUAAGAAGCACCGGCUAACUACGUGCCAGCCGCCGCCGUAACAC